AGUGUCCUUCCUCCCCACCCCACAGGCUGUGUUCUUUACACUGACUGUAUAAAAAGAGGAGAUACAGUAAAUGCACCCCAUAUACACCUCAACGCAGGCCCUUUUCCUGGUCUGUAUUGUGAAUUGGGGACAAAAAA